GACGAACCGUGCGAACGUUGUUCGGAAUCACUGGGCUUAAAGGGCGCGUAGGCGGACUGCCAAGUCCGGGGUGAAAUCCUCCGGCUUAACCGGAGAAUUGCCUGGGAUACUGGCGGUCUUGAGGGAGGUAGGGGCACGCGGAACUUCCGGUGGAGCGGUGAAAUGCGUUGAUAUCGGAAGGAACGCCGGUGGCGAAAGCGGCGUGCUGGCCCUCUUCUGACGCUGAGGCGCGAAAGCGUGGGGAGCGAACAGG
rnacentral:rRNA from 1 species